rnacentral:rRNA from 1 species
AGUGAACGCUGGCGGUAGGCCUAACACAUGCAAGUCGAACGGCAGCACAGUAAGAGCUUGCUCUUACGGGUGGCGAGUGGCGGACGGGUGAGGAAUACAUCGGAAUCUACUUUUUCGUGGGGGAUAACGUCGGGAAACUUACGCUAAUACCGCAUACGACCUACGUGUGAAAGCAGGGGUUCUUCGGACCUUGCGCGAUUGAAUGAGCCGAUGUCGGAUUAGCUAGUUGGCGGGGUAAAGGCCCACCAAGGCGACGAUCCGUAGCUGGUCUGAGAGGAUGAUCAGCCACACUGGAACUGAGACACGGUCCAGACUCCUACGGGAGGCAGCAGUGGGGAAUAUUGGACAAUGGGCGCAAGCCUGAUCCAGCCAUACCGCGUGGGUGAAGAAGGCCUUCGGGUUGUAAAGCCCUUUUGUUGGGAAAGAAAAGCAGCAGGUUAAUACCCCGCUGUUCUGACGGUACCCAAAGAAUAAGCACCGGCUAACUUCGUG